rnacentral:rRNA from 1 species
AGUGAACGCUGGCGGUAGGCCUAACACAUGCAAGUCGAACGGCAGCACAGUAAGAGCUUGCUCUUACGGGUUGCGAGUGGCGGACGGGUGAGGAAUACAUCGGAAUCUACUUUUUCGUGGGGGAUAACGUAGGGAAACUUACGCUAAUACCGCAUACGACCUACGGGUGAAAGCAGGGGAUCUUCGGACCUUGCGCGAUUGAAUGAGCCGAUGCCGGAUUAGCUAGUUGGCGGGGUAAAUGCCUACCAAGUGGGCGAUCCGUAGCUGGUCUGAGAGGAGGAUCAGCGGCACUGGAACUGGGACAGCGACAAUGCGCCUGAGGGAGGGACCAGAGGGGAAUAUUGGACAAUGGGGGCAAAUAUUAUCCAGCCAUCCCGCGUGGGUGACGGAGGCCUUCGGGUUGUAAAGACCUUUUGUGGGGAAAGAAAAGCAGCAGGCUAAUACCACGCUGUUCUGACGGUACCCAAAGAAUAAGCACCGGCUAACUUCGUG